rnacentral:lncRNA from 9 species
GACAAGCAGACAGACCGUGGGGCCUCCAGGGCAGGCAUGCAGGCUCUGGAGGUGGGCAGGGCAGGGAUGGACCUGAAGGCAUCCUUUUGUCUGCUGUUUUCAGAAUCACACACACACCUUGUGAAGUCUGUGUGCUCCUGAGACCUUCAGAUGCUGCCAUGGGGCUGCCCUUUGGGACUUCCAGCAGAUUCUUCCAGGACCCCCGCUGCGCCCCUCUUACCUCCCCUUGGAACAGACUCUACGUGGCAACAGGAUCUUACGAUGGAGGAAGCUCAGCCAGACCUGUUAUCUGGGAUGCCAGGAAGACUUCUCUCCAGCUGGGACGAGACUGGGGGACAGGAUGCUGCUGUCUGCUUCCAGCUUAGGAUUGCCACAAAGAGAGUGUGAUAGAUGGAAUGUGUGCCCCUACACACCCCCAAGUUCAUAUGUUGAAGUCCUAGCCCUCGAUGAGAUGGUCUCAGGAGGUAGGGUCUUUCGGAAGUGAUGAGGUCAUGAGGGUGGGGCCCUUGAGGAUGGGAUUAGUGCCCUUAGGAGGAGACCCCAGAGGGCUCCUUGCCCCCUUCUGUCAUGUGAGGGUGUGUUGAGAAAGUCUCUGUUUGCAAACUGAAGGAGGGCCUUUGCCAGAACCCGACCAGGCUGGCACCCUAAUCUUGGACUUUCAGCCUCCAGAACAGUGAGAAAUAAAUGCCUGUGGUUUAUAAGCCACCUAGGCUGUGGUAUUUUGUGGUAUGGGGUAGGCAUAGGUAGCAGCAGAAGUCCCAGGAAGGGACCAUAGAUAGAGAGGGAAACCUAGGGGACUUUGGGAGACCCCUGUAAAUUGGUAAUUGCUCAAGAGAACCAUCAGAACAAGGCAGGCUUGCUUGACCAGCGGAGGCUCGAGAUUUGCCUCAGGUCAUUGGGUGGGGAAUGGGAUGAGGCCUGCAUUCAGGUUCAGCCCAAGGGCAAGAGUUUAAGGACUGCCCUUCCACUGAUUUGAAUACCAGAUACCAAGGAGGAGCUACUACCCCAAGAAAGGAAGAGGCUGUCUUUUCCAUCUGCCACGCCCCUUAGGUGAUAAAACUGUAGCCCACCAGGUCCUGGGGGCAGAGCCUCCUUGCCUGCCUGCCAGCUUGCAUCUCUCACAAAUGUCCUAUCUCAAUAAAGCUAUUUCUUGUCUUUGCUUUGUCUCUCUCUGAAUUCCUUCUGCACAAAGGCACGAAGAACCUGAACUUCUGUGAGUCCAGACACGGGGUGAGUGAUUCGAAUUUAAAACUAUGGGUUCAAACCCCAAUCUGGGUUUAGGCUGGGUUCGAGUCCCGGCACGUG